CUCCGACCGGAGACGGGANGAGUGCUUUUAUUAGAUCAAAACCAAUCGGCGGCGGGCGCGCUCGCGCGUCCGUUCGCCGCUCAACCUGGUGACUCUGAAUAACUUUCGGCUGAUCGCACGGUCUCGCACCGGCGACGCAUCUUUCAAAUGUCUGCCUUAUCAACUGUCGAUGGUAGGUUCUGCGCCUACCAUGGUCGUAACGGGUAACGGGGAAUCAGGGUUCGAUUCCGGAGAGGGAGCCUGAGAAACGGCUACCACAUCCAAGGAAGGCAGCAAGCGCGCAAAUUACCCACUCCCGGCACGGGGAGGUAGUGACGAAAAAUAACGAUACGGGACUCAUCCGAGGCCCCGUAAUCGGAAUGAGUACACUUUAAACCCUUUAACAAGGACCCAUUGGAGGGCAAGUCUGGUGCCAGCAGCCGCGGUAAUUCCAGCUCCAAUAGCGUA
rnacentral:rRNA from 1 species